rnacentral:rRNA from 1 species
GACGAACGCUGGCGGCGUGCCUAAUACAUGCAAGUAGAACGCUGAAGAGAGGAGCUUGCUCUUCUUAGACGAGUUGCGAACGGGUGAGUAACGCGUAGGUAACCUGCCCUGUAGCGGGGGAUAACUAUUGGAAACGAUAGCUAAUACCGCAUAACAAUGGAUGGCACAUGUCAUUUAUUUGAAAGGGGCAAUUGCUCCACUACAAGAUGGACCUGCGUUGUAUUAGCUAGUAGGUGAGGUAAUGGACUCACCUAGGCGACGAUACAUAGCCGACCUGAGAGGGUGAUCGGGCCACACUGGGGACUGAGACACGGGCCCUAGACUCCUACGGGAGGCAGCAGUAGGGAAUCUUCGGGCAAUGGGGGCAACCCUGACCGAGCAACGCCGCGUGAGUGAAGAAGGUUUUU